rnacentral:SRP_RNA from 1 species
GGUCGGGCCCUGUGCAAUGAACGGGUGGCGAACCCCGCCAGGCCCGGAAGGGAGCAACGGUACCCGCUUUGGUCAUGUGCCGCAGUCAGCCUGGCUAUC